rnacentral:rRNA from 1 species
UACGAAGGGGCCUAGCGUUGCUCGGAAUCACUGGGCGUAAAGCGCACGUAGGCGGACUCUUAAGUCGGUGGUGAAAUCCUGGAGCUCAACUCCAGAACUGCCUUCGAUACUGAGAGUCUUGAGUCCGGGAGAGGUGAGUGGAACUGCGAGUGUAGAGGUGAAAUUCGUAGAUAUUCGCAAGAACACCAGUGGCGAAGGCGGCUCACUGGCCCGGUACUGACGCUGAGGUGCGAAAGCGUGGGGAGCAAACAGG